rnacentral:rRNA from 1 species
CCUACGGGAGGCAGCAGUGGGGAAUCUUGCGCAAUGGGCGAAAGCCUGACGCAGCAACGCCGCGUGGGGGACGAAGGCUCUCGGGUUGUAAACCCCUUUCAGCAGGAACGAAAUUGACGGUACCUGCAGAAGAAGCCCCGGCCAACUACGUGCCAGCAGCCGCGGUAAUACGUAGGGGGCGAGCGUUGUCCGGAUUCAUUGGGCGUAAAGAGCUCGUAGGCGGUUUGGUAAGUCGGGUGUGAAAACCCCAGGCUCAACCUGGGGACGCCACCUGAUACUGCCAUGACUUGAGUCUGGUAGGGGAUCACGGAAUUCCUGGUGUAGCGGUGAAAUGCGCAGAUAUCAGGAGGAACACCGGUGGCGAAGGUGGUGAUCUGGGCCAGUACUGACGCUGAGGAGCGAAAGCGUGGGUAGCAAACAGGAUUAGAUACCCUGGUAGUCCACGCCGUAAACGAUGAGUACUAGCUGUCGGAGGUUACCCCCUUCGGUGGCGCAGCUAACGCAUUAAGUACUCCGCCUGGGAAGUACGCUCGCAAGAGUGAAACUCAAAGGAAUUGACGG